rnacentral:lncRNA from 1 species
UCGUUUUCGCUCGUUGGGUCUCCGAUUCACUUCUAAUCGUACCGAGACCCCCAAAACACGCUUUCGAGCGCGUUUAAAACAUCGUUUCAUCCACGCUUAUGCUGGAUUUAGUCCACGGUCCAACAUAGCUUUUCGGGUUUCGUUUUCGCGCCCAACGCGCUCCGUAAACACCCGGAUGCUCCCGAACCUCACCGGAACCAUUCUAAUGACUUUCCAAACUAACAUACACCGUAACUUCAUAACUUUA